ACCAACCAACAACCAACCGGCCAACCAGACAGACGGACCAACCAACCCACAGACCAACCAACCGACUGACUGACAAACAGACAGACCAACUGACCAGUCUCCUAGGCAAGAAGAAACUAGCAAUGACCAUCACCUCUGGUUAAGACAAGCCAUCACACCAUCACCACCACCACCACCAACAACAACAACAACCACAACAGCAACAAUAGCAGUGGAUGCAACCGUUGUCAGGUGCAACCGCAACAGUGUGUGUGUGUGUGCAAGCAGAGAGAAGAACUUUCUAGAAGGAAACUGACAGGGGUGGGGUCGGGG
rnacentral:lncRNA from 1 species